UACGGAGGGUGCGAGCGUUAAUCGGAAUUACUGGGCGUAAAGCGCGCGUAGGCGGUUAGUUAAGCUGGAUGUGAAAGCCCCGGGCUCAACCUGGGAACUGCAUUCAGAACUGGCUGGCUAGAGUACGAGAGAGGGUAGUGGAAUUUCCUGUGUAGCGGUGAAAUGCGUAGAUAUAGGAAGGAACAUCAGUGGCGAAGGCGACUGCCUGGCUCGAUACUGACGCUGAGGUGCGAAAGCGUGGGGAGCAAACAGG
rnacentral:ncRNA from 2 species